UUCUGGGUGAGUCCGCGGAGCCCCCUCGGCUAAAGCCGCUGCGUGGGGUUCCCGCGUCGGAGGCUCCUCUGGGGUCCGCGCUUUCCCACCUGUUUCGCUCUCCCCACGCAGAGUCGGACCCUCCACUCACAGACCCCUCGCUGUGCGUGGGGCAGUCAGUGACCUUGCGCCUGCUGUGUUCCAGGGCUGGGGUGUAGCCUCGAACCCUGCUCCAGUGAGAGAAGCAGGCGGUAGGUGUGAAAAGAUGAGAAACUUGAAGAGGAUCUGGAACAGCGCUGCGCAAUAGGAACGUAGAGAGAGCCGAGCGGCAGGAGUAAUUGAAAACUUUCUGGUAACCACGCUCCCAUCGUUUCCUGAGCAGCGGUCCUCUUAAAAGCCCUGGCAAAGAAAAGAAAAAACUCUUAUAAUUUCCUACUGCUUCUCUCAGUUUCACCAACUUCUUAAAAACCAGACGUAGGAGGUCCGCUAAUGGUCAAGCCUUCGGCAGCUCAAGUCUGGCACGGGGCAGAUACUCAACAGCUACAUGGUGACUCGGUAAAGAAAUUCAGCUGUCAGAGUGGCUUGGGUUCCUUCUAAAGGAGAUGGGUUGCAGCCCCGGAAGGACCACCACCCCGAGGGUGGAUUCACACGUGAGGCCAAGAGGCUACGGGGCUGAAACGGGAGGUGGAGGAAACAAUAGGUAAGGUGAAGUUGGCUGGUUGCAACUACCCAGACGUUUUAGUUCCUUUUUAAAUAAAUAUUUCCCCAUGUAAUCCUGUUAUGUAUUCCAGGUACAUGAAUGGAAUGCAAGGUCAAAGGAUCUAAUUUGUUUAAGCCCCCAUGUCUGUGAUUUGUACUUGAACGUUCAAUGUGGGGGAAGGUGUUGGGGAGAGGGCUUGGAUCGUCAGUGUUGGAAAAUGAGACACACGAACACGGGGAGGUCUCGACAAGGCUCUUUCCUUUUGCAGAAGGGCACGGGUGCUCCAAAAGCCGCGCAAAGGGGAAAAGACCCUCCCCUAUUUAUCCCUAACGCAGGUGAUGUACCGGCCCCUUCCCAUGGGGCGGGUCAGGGCGCACAUUCUUCUCCUGGGCUAAUUUGAAACAAAUUGCAACUGGGAGAAGAGGAAGAGAGGAGAAGGGUCACCAAGAUUUCCUUUGAUAGAAAAGACAUUAUGUUACUUUCCACAAAGGGAAGGAUAAGAAAACAGAAACCCUAUUCUCAGAAGUGGGUUAAUAGUACAAGAAGGCACACUGAGUGCGGGUUAAGUCUGCAGGAGAUCAGAUCAGCUUUGUUUCACAUGGCACCCUCCAUCAUUUCAUCCCACUACUGCAUCCUAGAAUCUUCACCAGCGGCCAGAGCUGACGCUGGGUGCCAGUUCUCUGACUGCUGUUCGUGCAGCCUGCUCUGGGAUCUGCCUGGACCACCCUGCUGCUGAAGCUUCCUCCUGGGAGAUGGGGACACAGACAGACCCUGGAGGCUGCUACAGCUGUGGGAACUUGGGCAGUUCAUGGGAGCAAAGGAGGUGCCUGGUCCAAACCACAGCUGGAAGCUGUGCCAUUUCUCUUGACAUCUGGGCAGAACGUAAGCCUUGGAGGGACCGGUUGGCAGGAAUUCUUGUUGAUUGGAGGCAGGGAAGGAGAAAGCAGAGGUGGCCGCUGUCAUGUGACAUUAGCAUCACGUUAGCGAUGGCUUCAGCACCUCUUGGGUGGCGUGUGUUAUCGUGAGUUCUCAUGAACUCACAGACUUGAAACGGGUGACAGGGUGGUGGAUGCCCCUCCCGAAAGGUGUAUGACAGAUCCGGAAAGGGAGGGGCUGGUCUGAGGGGAAGUUUCCUCCUUGGGGCCCUCAGACCAUUCAGAGAGGGGGCCAUGGCCUGGACAAAGCACAGGGCUUCAGCCAGCAGAGUGACUCACCUGGGGACAGGAAACAUCCGGAUGACCUCCCUUCCACCUUGUGAACCCUCGUUAACGGGGGCAGGGGGGGCAAAUCACCUCUGAACCCACGAAAACGACGUUGUCUUUCUAAAAGCUCUUCUGUCGAAAAUGCAGAAAUUUUAAAACAAGGUUGAUGUCUCUGUUUUUUUGGUCCCAGCAUGGCAUAUGGAAUCACAUGUGAGCUGCUGCUGCAACCUACAGCACAGCUGCAGCAAUGCCAGAUCCUUAACCCACCAUGCCGCAGGGGGAACUCCCGCUAUCUCCAUUUUAAGUUUAAAAGCUCUCACAAUUAUGUGGCUUUGAGAGUUCACUGUAAAGUCAUUUAAGUGGCCCAAUGGACAUAACUGGACUUUUAAUUCACAGGCUUUGAAACAUCUUUAAAUGACUUGGAUUGAGCACUUCUCUGCUGUUGGUAGGUUUUAUGAUGGUUCCUAGUAAGAGGGAUGGAUGUAUAGACACACAUGCCUGUCACUGGCGAGGAGGACAGCGCCUGUCUGUGUAUCUAGGAAAUUCAAAGGUCAUUUUGAACUCGAAGGUUAAGAAAUGAUGUUCCUGCUACACCUUUUCCAGACUCCCUCUCAGCGCUGUUUGGCAGUGACAGUAACGGCAUGGUCCUGGGGACCACGGCCCGUUCUCCAAACCAUCUGCACCUGAUCUCGGCCCCGGGCAGUGGUGCAUGGUGGGGUUAACAAGGCUUUCCCUCAUCUGACACCUCCUUCCUCCCUGGGGAAGAGGCAUGAAUGCUGCCAAUAAGUAGACUCAAAGUAUGUUUGUCAUUAAGCUUUUCCUGUAGGCUGGCUCGUUCAAUUGAUGGAGUUGCUCUGGUGAGUUACUUUAAGCUUCCAACUUAUAAAUCAAGAUGUAGUCAUAUCAAUUCAAUGUUGGUUUGUUCACCUCGUUGAUUUUGAAAUAAAAAUGAAUGUGAUUUUAGAGAUGCCCCAAGUGAAAAAUCCCCAAUACUGACGCCACUAGCAAUGAGCAGCACUGCCUGCUGGAACCAGGGUUCCUUACAGGGCACUGACCCCAGGUCUGGGGCAGGAGAUGGUAAGUGAGCCUAGCAUAUCCUGCUCUGCCAAGAACUUUUCGGAAACUAAGGUGUCAAGGUCAAAAGGACAAAGAGGCCAACCUGAAGGGUAUCCCGUUGCUCUAAAAUACGACAAUGAAGCAUCCAAAAGAUGAGUGAGAUGGAUUGAAGUACAUGGCAUACAUAAAAUUUCAUGAAUUCGUGAAUAUCCUAAAACAAACAGCUAACCAGCUCUUUAGUUUAAAAUUUGAUGCACGGAAAGACAGAUUUAUCUUGCUUUUUUUUUUCCCUGUACAAACCUUAUUUAAGAGUUCACAAAGAGGUGACAGGAGAAAUUUCUUUACAGAUGCAUACAAGCUAAUAAAAGUAGAAGGAAUGAUAGUUAAGAAAUCAUUAAAAACAAACACCUAUUGGAGUAAUGAAUUUAGGCAACAGUCAUCAAAGACAUUAAAGCAGUAGGUGACAGGUGAAUGGGGACCAGCCAGUGGAUGGAUCAGGCUGGGGAUCCAGGAACUGACUGUCAAUCUCUUAUCACUAAGAGCGGAUGAUGAGACGUUACAAUGUGAUGCAAAGCAGAUAUGCAGCACCAUCUCUGAAGCUGAAAAAAAUUCCUCUGAAUCUAAGCAAGCCUCUGUGUCUAACCUUUCACUUAACAGAAAAUACAGCAGGUAGAGAAACCAGUUAGAAAAUGUCAAAUCAAUACCGUGGGACAUUUUACAGGGCGGCCAAUCUAAUUUCUCCAAAGAAUUAAUGACACGGAAACAAAGCAGGGGAGGGGACAGCUACAGACAUGAGACUUAAGACUUACUCGUGGGCUUUGUUCAGAUCCUGAUUCAGGGGAGUUCCCAUCGUGGCGCAGUGGUUAACAAAUCUGACUAGGAACCAUGAGGUUUCGGGUUCGAUCCCUGGCCUUGCUCAGUGGGUUAAGGAUCCAGUGUUGCCAUGAGUUGUGGUGUAGGUCACAGAUGCAGCUCGGAUCCCGUGUUGCUGUGGCUCUUACGUAGGCCGGCGGCUACAGCUCUGAU